UACGUAGGGUGCGAGCGUUAAUCGGAAUUACUGGGCGUAAAGUGUGCGCAGGCGGCCGCGCAAGUCGAGUGUGAAAGCCCCGGGCUUAACUUGGGAAUUGCGCUCGAAACUACGUGGCUGGAGUGUGGCAGAGGAAGGUGGAAUUCACGUGUAGCGGUGAAAUGCGUAGGAGAAUGUGGAGGAACACCAAUGGCGAAGGCAGCCGAU
rnacentral:rRNA from 1 species